rnacentral:rRNA from 1 species
GACGAACGCUGGCGGCGUGCUUAACACAUGCAAGUCGAGCGGUAAGGCCCUUCGGGGUACACGAGCGGCGAACGGGUGAGUAACACGUGGGUGACCUGCCCUCCACUUCGGGAUAAGCCCGGGAAACUGGGUCUAAUACCGGUUAGGACCUCCUCAUGCAUGUGGGGUGGUGGAAAGCUUGUGUCUUUGAUGCUUGCGGUGGGGGAUGGGCCCGCGGUCUAUCAGCUUGUUGGUGGGGUGANGGCCUACCAAGGCGACGACGGAUAGCCGGCCUGAGAGGGUGAUCAGCCACACUGGGACUGAGACACGGCCCAGACUCCUACGGGAGGCAGCAGUGGGGAAUCUUGCGCAAUGGGGCGGAAGCCUGACGCAGCAACGCCGCGGUGGGGAU